CUCUGAUGGAGGCGGCUCUGCAGCUGGAAUCGCGGACGUUUGUGCAAGGACCGAAGCACUGGGAAAGGCCGGGCUUGGACUCGGGUUAUGGCUCCAGCAUCCACCGACGUCCGCAGCGUCUGCUGGACUCGCCCAAUAGCCCCGCAGCGGCCGCGCUCGCAGACGCAUCCGGCUGCAGCCUCCUGCAGGAGGAUGAGGAGUCGGUGCGACAGGGACGGGCGGCUUCCCCGGAACAGCGAGGCGCAGCGACAGACUCGGAGCCCCCAGCGUCUGCCUGUGCGCCGGUGAAGCGCACUUGCGGUCAGUUCUCCAACAUCGUCUGGAAAGUAAUAGCUGGUGCCGCUGUGGCUGUGGUUGAGGCUGUGGUUAUUUUGACAGGAACUUUCUCUCCAAAGGUCAGGCAGUGUCCAGAAGAAUGGAUAUGUUUUGGAGGGAACGGGUAUUCUUUUUCCACCGAUACAAAGAGCUGGGAUGACAGUAAGGAGUACUGCGCCUCACAUGGCGCAACGCUUCCUAUGAUAAAAGAGAAACUGCAACUGAUGCAAAGCUGAAGUGUUCCUUCCUAAACAGUGACAAAAUUGUUACUGUAGAUUGCACAUCUUCAAGACGCUGGAUCUGUCAGAGUCCAAAUGAGUCUUCUUCAUCUCCAGUGAAGUUAGUAGUGCAAGGUAAAAACAUAAUCUGAUUUUUUUCCCCCCACCCCCCAGUGGAGUUUGUUACAACUUGCUAUAAAUUCUAACAAGAGUUUUUAGAGAAAUGUAGUAGAUAGAGCUCUCCUGAACCAUAAGAUUUAAGGUGCUGGGAUUGGAGGCCUGUUGCAAGGUGCAACGGGGUAUGCCUGUAGCUAAUGUGCCAUGACAAGCAAAAUCCAGCUCCUAUGGACAUCUGUGCUUAUUUGUGUGUGUAUAUAUAUACGUACGUACGUAUUAUGAUAGUGUUCAAAGUCAAGAUCUGGAUUAUGCUAGAUGCUGUGUAAACUCAUAUGAAGAUAUUGUCCUGAAGAGUCAGCACCCAAAAGUGUGUGUGUGUGUGUGUGUGUGUGUGUAUAAUAUAUGUACACGUACACACACAUUGUGAUUGAUUCAUAUAUCCAUGUAAUAUGCUAUAGGUCAUUGAGGCCUGGUAUGAAUGACGUACACUUGACAAAUGCAUGCGUUGCAAGUUAGCAGCUGAAGCAAGAAUUUAUGGUCAAGGACUAUUAGAACUCUUUGUGCAAAAACAAUCUUGUGCUCUGAGAAAAACAUGGAAAAUCAUCAGAAAAGAAAAUCAGUCCAGAUGGUGUUAUAAAAUUGUGUAAGAAUUGGAGGAAAUGGCACACCUUGGAUCAUGGCGGCCCACCCAGGAUUGUCUCUUUGGAGUUGUGUGGGUAGAAGGCCUAAUAAACAAAGGCAAAGACCUGAUGAUGUAAUGGAA
rnacentral:lncRNA from 1 species